CUGAUGCGAAAUGUCUGGACAAAUUUUUGAUUAAGACAGUAGUUGCAAGUUCCGGCGCUACCACAGCAGAUGGUAUCAAGAAGCUGUUUGAUAAGGAGGCUGGAUCUCAAUUUCAAGAUUGCAAAUUGGGAGUUUUCUACACUUUCCCUAGCCAAGCCUCGUCGACAGUUAUUGAAAGAUCAUUUUCCACCUCGGUUGGAUCAGAGACUACAAAUUUGAAUAAUAUUAAGAUGGACGUAACCAAACUUGUUCAAAUUCAGCCUUCGGACCUCAAGUUUGAUUGUGAGUCGUCAGAUACAUCAUUUUAACGCAUUUUCC